GAAGCUGCCUACAAGUUAAGCCUCACUUUUCUCUUCCACACAAUAGAGAAAUAAUAUUUUAAUCACCUAGUUUUUGUGAGAAGCAAAUAAUAUAAAGCUGCAUUAUAGAUGCUCACUAGCUGUUCUACAUCCUUUGCGUCUCAAUUUCCUCAUCUUUUAUUAAGCAGCUUGCAUUAAGUUAAGCUCUAAGAUCCUUUUCAAGUUUAAUAUAUGAUGACGGGCAUCAUAGUUUUGGGGCUGUCCAACAAAGGAUGUGUAUCAUAACUUAAUCAAGCAGCGACGGCCUUUGUUGUCCACCAUCACAGACUCAUCAUAAACCACCACCAGUUUUUCCAAUAUUAUCUAAACAUUGGAAAGAGAACUAUGAAAAGACAGAUAACUACGCUGCUUUUUGGACGACAAACUAACAAAUAUCUUAUAUUUUAUAUUAAAUAUCUUAUAUUAAAUAUCUUAUAUUUUAUAUAAGAUAUAAAAUAUUUAUAUAUAAACAUGUAAGAAAUAAAAAAUAUAUAAAUAUAUAAGAUAUAUAAGAUAUAAAAUAUUUAUAUAUAAAUAUAUGAAAUUAUAUAUCUUAUAUAUCUUGUAUAUUUCAUAUAAUAUAUAUUUCUAUAUUAUAUUAUAUUACAAUAUUAUAUAUUAAAAUAUAGUAAUAUAUAAUAUAUUAUAGUAUAUAUCAUAUAUAGUAUAUAAUAUAUAAUACAUUAUAGGAGUAAUAUAUAUAAUAUAUUUUAACAUAAUAUAUAAAUAUAUCAUAUAUGAUUAUAUAUAAAUAUUAUAAUUAUAUAUUAUAAUACAUAAAUAUAAUAUAUUAUAUAUAUUAUAAUACAUAAAUAUAAUAUAUUAUAUAUAUUAUAAUACAUAAAUAUAAUAUAUUAUAUAUAUUAUAAUACAUAAAUAUAAUAUAUUAUAUAUAUUAUAAUACAUAAAUAUAAUAUAUUAUAUAUAUUAUAAUACAUAAAUAUAAUAUAUUAUAUAUAUUAUGGAAGAAACA
rnacentral:lncRNA from 1 species